UACGAAGGGGGCUAGCGUUGCUCGGAAUUACUGGGCGUAAAGCGCACGUAGGCGGCUUUCUAAGUCGGGGGUGAAAUCCUGGAGCUCAACUCCAGAACUGCCUUCGAUACUGGAAAGCUCGAGUCCGGGAGAGGUGAGUGGAACUGCGAGUGUAGAGGUGAAAUUCGUAGAUAUUCGCAAGAACACCAGUGGCGAAGGCGGCUUCCUGGACCGACACUGACGCUGAGGCGCGAAAGCCAGGGGAGCAAACGGG
rnacentral:rRNA from 1 species